CCUACGGGAGGCAGCAGUGGGGAAUUUUGGACAAUGGGCGCAAGCCUGAUCCAGCCAUGCCGCGUGUGGGAAGAAGGCCUUCGGGUUGUAAACCACUUUUGUCAGGGAAGAAACGGCUUUUUCUAAUACAGAGAGCUAAUGACGGUACCUGAAGAAUAAGCACCGGCUAACUACGUGCCAGCAGCCGCGGUAAUACGUAGGGUGCAAGCGUUAAUCGGAAUUACUGGGCGUAAAGCGUGCGCAGGCGGCUUUGCAAGACAGAUGUGAAAUCCCCGGGCUCAACCUGGGAACUGCAUUUGUGACUGCAUGGCUAGAGUACGGUAGAGGGGGAUGGAAUUCCGCGUGUAGCAGUGAAAUGCGUAGAUAUGCGGAGGAACACCGAUGGCGAAGGCAAUCCCCUGGACCUGUACUGACGCUCAUGCACGAAAGCGUGGGGAGCAAACAGGAUUAGAUACCCUGGUAGUCCACGCCCUAAACGAUGUCAACUGGUUGUUGGACGGCUUGCUGUUCAGUAACGAGCUAACGCGUGAAGUUGACGCCUGGGGAGUCGGCGNAAGGUUGAAACUUAAGGAAUUGGNGNGNGAGAGNGCGAGGACGACGACGAGGGAGAGG
rnacentral:rRNA from 1 species